CCUACGGGUGGCAGCAGUGAGGAAUAUUGGUCAAUGGGCGGGAGCCUGAACCAGCCAUGCCGCGUGAAGGCGAGUGCCCUACGGGCGUUAAACUUCUUUUGUGCGGGAGCAAUAAGGGCCACGUGUGGCCCGAUGAGAGUACCGCACGAAUAAGCAUCGGCUAACUCCGUGCCAGCAGCCGCGGUAAUACGGGGGAUGCGAGCGUUAUCCGGAUUUAUUGGGUUUAAAGGGUGCGUAGGCGGCGCUUCAGGUCAGCGGUGAAAUACCGGGGCUCAACCCCGGGGCUGCCGUUGAAACCGGAGCGCUAGAAUUCCGAUGCCGUCGGAGGAAUGCGUGGUGUAGCGGUGAAAUGCAUAGAUAUCACGCAGAACUCCGAUUGCGAAGGCAGCAUACCGGCGCUCAACUGACGCUGAGGCACGAAAGCGUGGGGAUCGAACAGGAUUAGAUACCCCAGUAGUC
rnacentral:rRNA from 1 species